rnacentral:pre_miRNA from 10 species
GAAAUGUAUCAAUAAGCCUUCUCUUCCCAGUUCUUCUUGGAGUCAGGAAAAGCUGGGUUGAGAGGCGCAGAAAAGAAAAAAG